GGGUUGAGCCUGUUUGAGCUGUAGUAUA
rnacentral:piRNA from 1 species